CUGCCCCAGCCCAAUGUGUCCUCCAUUUGAGACACGCCACGGAAAAGGGGACAGCUAAGACAGAAGUCACCCUGGCCGUAGCAGCUGGCCUGCCGUGGAGUCCUGCCUGUGACAACGAAAGAGCUGAGAACUAAUAACAGCUGAGCGGGCCCCGAGGAACAUGCCUUCUCACCAGUAUGAUGAGGAAACUGAGGCAGAGGGAGUCAGCUUGUCCAGGAUCACACGGUGUAGAGUGAGGAUUCUCCCUCUCAACAAGACGACUGUCCAGUCGCUCAUACAGAUGUCCUCCCUGUACU